GAUGAACGCUAGCGGCAGGCCUAAUACAUGCAAGUCGAACGGUGUCUUCGGACAUAGUGGCGCACGGGUGCGUAACACGUAUGCAACCUACCUUGCAUUGGGGGAUAGCCUUUCGAAAGGGAGAUUAAUACCGCAUAAGACAGUAGCUGGGCAUCCAGCAGCUGUUAAAGAUUUAUCGAUGUAAGCUGGGCAUGCGUCCAAUUAGCUAGUUGGUGAGGUAACGGCUCACCAAGGCAAUGAUUGGUAGGGGAACUGAGAGGUCAAUCCCCCACACUGGGACUGAGAUACGGGCCAGACUCCUACGGGAGGCAGCAGUAGGGAAUAUUGGGCAAUGGACGCAAGUCUGACCCAGCCAUGCCGCGUGCAGGAUGAAGGCGUUAUGCGUUGUAAACUGCUUUUAUACAGGAAGAAACGACUCUUGCGAGAGGCAUUGACGGUACUGUAUGAAUAAGCACCGGCUAACUCCGUGCCAGCCGCCGCAGUAAUAC
rnacentral:rRNA from 1 species